GACGAACGCUGGCGGCGUGCUUAACACAUGCAAGUCGAACGCUGAACCCGCUUCGGUGGGGGAUGAGUGGCGAACGGGUGAGUAACACGUGGGCAACCUGCCCCCGGCUCUGGGAUAACUCCAAGAAAUUGGGGCUAAUACCGGAUGUGACCGCUGGCCGCAUGGUCUGGUGGUGGAAAGGGUUUCCGGCUGGGGAUGGGCCCGCGGCCUAUCAGCUUGUUGGUGGGGUAGUGGCCUACCAAGGCGACGACGGGUAGCCGGCCUGAGAGGGUGACCGGCCACACUGGGACUGAGACACGGCCCAGACUCCUACGGGAGGCAGCAGUGGGGAAUAUUGCGCAAUGGGCGGAAGCCUGACGCAGCGGCGCCGCGUGGGGGAUGACGGCCUUCGGGUUGUAAACCUCUUUCAGCAGGGACGAAGCGCAAGUGACGGUACCUGCAGAAGAAGCACCGGCCAACUACGU
rnacentral:rRNA from 1 species